ACAACUCCCUCACAUGAACCUGUGGUAUUGGCCAAAGUGGAUCGUACUUGCACUGCAGGUCUCACUCAGCUGAAAUCAAUGGGCCAGAGAAGUGGACCAUAGCGACAGACUCUCAGAGUGUUUUUGAAACGCUAAACUAGUCUCUAGCAGGUUGAAAUCUGAGCCGAUUGGACCCCCAUUUUAGUCCAAAUAAGGGA
rnacentral:misc_RNA from 1 species